UAGAAGCUUGCUUCUAUGACGUUAGCGGCGGACGGGUGAGUAACACGUGGGCAACCUGCCUGUAAGACUGGGAUAACUUCGGGAAACCGAAGCUAAUACCGGAUAGGAUCUUCUCCUUCAUGGGAGAUGAUUGAAAGAUGGUUUCGGCUAUCACUUACAGAUGGGCCCGCGGUGCAUUAGCUAGUUGGUGAGGUAACGGCUCACCAAGGCAACGAUGCAUAGCCGACCUGAGAGGGUGAUCGGCCACACUGGGACUGAGACACGGCCCAGACUCCUACGGGAGGCAGCAGUAGGGAAUCUUCCGCAAUGGACGAAAGUCUGACGGAGCAACGCCGCGUGAGUGAUGAAGGCUUUCGGGUCGUAAAACUCUGUUGUUAGGGAAGAACAAGUACGAGAGUAACUGCUCGUACCUUGACGGUACCUAACCAGAAAGCCACGGCUAACUACGUGCCAGCAGCCGCGGUAAUACGUAGGUGGCAAGCGUUAUCCGGAAUUAUUGGGCGUAAAGCGCGCGCAGGCGGUUUCUUAAGUCUGAUGUGAAAGCCCACGGCUCAACCGUGGAGGGUCAUUGGAAACUGGGGAACUUGAGUGCAGAAGAGAAAAGCGGAAUUCCACGUGUAGCGGUGAAAUGCGUAGAGAUGUGGAGGAACACCAGUGGCGAAGGCGGCUUUUUGGUCUGUAACUGACGCUGAGGCGCGAAAGCGUGGGGAGCAA
rnacentral:rRNA from 1 species